CACGUAGGGGGCGAGCGUUGUCCGGAAUUAUUGGGCGUAAAGAGCUCGUAGGCGGUUUGUCGCGUCUGCUGUGAAAACCCGAGGCUCAACCUCGGGCCUGCAGUGGGUACGGGCAGACUAGAGUGCGGUAGGGGAGAUUGGAAUUCCUGGUGUAGCGGUGGAAUGCGCAGAUAUCAGGAGGAACACCGAUGGCGAAGGCAGAUCUCUGGGCCGUAACUGACGCUGAGGAGUGAAAGCAUGGGGAGCGAACAGG
rnacentral:rRNA from 1 species